CCCGGGGGGCCUGGGCUGGGGUGGGUGGUGCAGAACUGAGGCCAGAGGCCUGCGGCCACCCCAGGCUGUGUGAGGCGGGCAAGACCCUUCCUUCCCCAGCCUUCGUUUUCUCAUCUGUAAAAUGGACCCACUCCCCAUUGACAGCCUCCUGGCUUUCACCUCACCUGGCCACUCCCCCGAUGAGUGGCCCUCCCCCUCUCCCUUCCCCCCUGCCAGCCCCCAGCCCCCCAGCCCUGAGCAGCAGCACAGGCAGCGGCUGCCCGGGGGCCUGGGGCCUGAGGCAGGGGGCUGCCUGCAGGGAUCGCUCCCCUCGGUGGACAGCGGCUCCCUCUCCGAAGAGGAAGACGAGGUUUUCUAUAACUGAGGCUCAGGGGGCACUGCCCCUUGCCCCUUGUCUUCAGGGAGCUCAAGGACAGCGACAGAUGCUGGGGCCAUGGCCCCCAGAGACGCUGCUGCCAGGAUCCCAGGCCGAUGGCCUCGUGGGGACAGAGAGACCCAGUAGGAGUGGGGCUGGGGACCCUGCCUUGCCCUGGGCUCAGUCCCCCGCCUGUGCACCUGCUCCCUAGGGAAGAUGAGGUCACCUCCCUGGAGGCACAGCCCCUGCUCAUUGGCACCUUCAGAGCGUCUCUGUGUCUGGAGUGUCCACCUGGCUCUCCCCGUCCCAAACCUGCUCCCUCGGUGCCCCCACUGCCACCCCCGUCGUCCUCACGGUGCCCUGGUAUUAAAGCGGUGGGUUCACCUGCA